UUUCCGUAGGUGAACCUGCGGAAGGAUCAUUCAUAAUAAGUGUUUUAUGGCACUUUUUUAAAUCCAUAUCCACCUUGUGUGCAAUGUCAGGGUUGAUUUUUCUCUCGAGAGGAUCAACCCCAAACAUCAACUAUAUCUCAACUCUUUGUCUGAAAAAUAUUAUGAAUAAAACAAUUCAAAAUACAACUCUCAACAACGGAUCUCUUGGCUCUC
rnacentral:misc_RNA from 1 species